GGCGCUGUGGCAUAGCAGGUUAAAGCUCUGGCCUGAAGCACCAGUAUCCCAUAUGGGCACCGGUUCUAGUCCGGGCUGCUCCA
rfam:Oryctolagus cuniculus chromosome 17, whole genome shotgun sequence.